UGAAUUAACUGAUGUAAGUCACUCUGGAUAAGAGCGUCUGCUAAAUUACUUAAU
rfam:Salmo salar isolate Sally breed double haploid chromosome ssa12, whole genome shotgun sequence.